rnacentral:rRNA from 1 species
CAGUCGCCGCGGUAAUACGUAGGGUGCGAGCGUUAAUCGGAAUUACUGGGCGUAAAGCGUGCGCAGGCGGUUUUGUAAGACAGGCGUGAAAUCCCCGGGCUCAACCUGGGAAUGGCGCUUGUGACUGCAAAGCUAGAGUGCGGCAGAGGGGGAUGGAAUUCCGCGUGUAGCAGUGAAAUGCGUAGAUAUGCGGAGGAACACCGAUGGCGAAGGCAAUCCCCUGGGCCUGCACUGACGCUCAUGCACGAAAGCGUGGGGAGCAAACAGGAUUAGAUACCCCGGUAGUCCCUGUCUCUUAUAA